rnacentral:rRNA from 1 species
AGAAGCGCAUACGGUGGAUGCCUUGGCAGUCAGAGGCGAUGAAAGACGUGGUAGCCUGCGAUAAGCUUCGGGGAGUCGGCAAACAGACUUUGAUCCGGAGAUCUCUGAAUGGGGGAACCCACCUAGGAUAACCUAGGUAUCUUGUACUGAAUCCAUAGGUGCAAGAGGCGAACCAGGGGAACUGAAACAUCUAAGUACCCUGAGGAAAAGAAAUCAACCGAGAUUCCCUUAGUAGUGGCGAGCGAACGGGGAUUAGCCCUUAAGCUUCAUUGAUUUUAGCGGAACGCUCUGGAAAGUGCGGCCAUAGUGGGUGAUAGCCCUGUACGCGAAAGGAUCUUUGAAGUGAAAUCGAGUAGGACGGAGCACGAGAAACUUUGUCUGAACAUGGGGGGACCAUCCUCCAAGGCUAAAUACUACUGACUGACCGAUAGUGAACCAGUACCGUGAGGGAAAGGCGAAAAGAACCCCGGAGAGGGGAGUGAAAUAGAACCUGAAACCGUAUGCGUACAAGCAGUGGGAGCCUACUUGUUAGGUGACUGCGUACCUUUUGUAUAAUGGGUCAGCGACUUAUAUUCAGUGGCGAGCUUAACCGAAUAGGGUAGGCGUAGCGAAAGCGAGUCUUAAUAGGGCGUUUAGUCGCUGGGUAUAGACCCGAAACCGGGCGAUCUAUCCAUGAGCAGGUUGAAGGUUAGGUAACACUGACUGGAGGACCGAACCCACUCCCGUUGAAAAGGUAGGGGAUGACUUGUGGAUCGGAGUGAAAGGCUAAUCAAGCUCGGAGAUAGCUGGUUCUCCUCGAAAGCUAUUUAGGUAGCGCCUCAUGUAUCACUCUGGGGGGUAGAGCACUGUUUCGGCUAGGGGGUCAUCCCGACUUACCAAACCGAUGCAAACUCCGAAUACCCAGAAGUGCCGAGCAUGGGAGACACACGGCGGGUGCUAACGUCCGUCGUGAAAAGGGAAACAACCCAGACCGCCAGCUAAGGUCCCAAAGUUGUGGUUAAGUGGUAAACGAUGUGGGAAGGCUUAGACAGCUAGGAGGUUGGCUUAGAAGCAGCCAUCCUUUAAAGAAAGCGUAAUAGCUCACUAGUCGAGUCGGCCUGCGCGGAAGAUGUAACGGGGCUCAAACCACACACCGAAGCUGCGGGUGUCACGUAAGUGACGCGGUAGAGGAGCGUUCUGUAAGCCUGUGAAGGUGAGUUGAGAAGCUUGCUGGAGGUAUCAGAAGUGCGAAUGCUGACAUGAGUAACGACAAUGGGUGUGAAAAACACCCACGCCGAAAGACCAAGGGUUCCUGCGCAACGUUAAUCGACGCAGGGUUAGUCGGUUCCUAAGGCGAGGCUGAAAAGCGUAGUCGAUGGGAAACAGGUUAAUAUUCCUGUACUUCUGGUUACUGCGAUGGAGGGACGGAGAAGGCUAGGCCAGCUUGGCGUUGGUUGUCCAAGUUUAAGGUGGUAGGCUGAAAUCUUAGGUAAAUCCGGGGUUUCAAGGCCGAGAGCUGAUGACGAGUCGUCUUUUAGAUGACGAAGUGGUUGAUGCCAUGCUUCCAAGAAAAGCUUCUAAGCUUCAGGUAACCAGGAACCGUACCCCAAACCGACACAGGUGGUCGGGUAGAGAAUACCAAGGCGCUUGAGAGAACUCGGGUGAAGGAACUAGGCAAAAUGGCACCGUAACUUCGGGAGAAGGUGCGCCGGCUAGGGUGAAGGAUUUACUCCGUAAGCUCUGGCUGGUCGAAGAUACCAGGCCGCUGCGACUGUUUAUUAAAAACACAGCACUCUGCAAACACGAAAGUGGACGUAUAGGGUGUGACGCCUGCCCGGUGCCGGAAGGUUAAUUGAUGGGGUUAGCGCAAGCGAAGCUCUUGAUCGAAGCCCCGGUAAACGGCGGCCGUAACUAUAACGGUCCUAAGGUAGCGAAAUUCCUUGUCGGGUAAGUUCCGACCUGCACGAAUGGCGUAACGAUGGCGGCGCUGUCUCCACCCGAGACUCAGUGAAAUUGAAAUCGCUGUGAAGAUGCAGUGUAUCCGCGGCUAGACGGAAAGACCCCGUGAACCUUUACUGUAGCUUUGCACUGGACUUUGAGCCUGCUUGUGUAGGAUAGGUGGGAGGCUUUGAAGCGUGGACGCCAGUUCGCGUGGAGCCAUCCUUGAAAUACCACCCUGGCAUGCUUGAGGUUCUAACUCUGGUCCGUGAUCCGGAUCGAGGACAGUGUAUGGUGGGCAGUUUGACUGGGGCGGUCUCCUCCUAAAGAGUAACGGAGGAGUACGAAGGUGCGCUCAGACCGGUCGGAAAUCGGUCGCAGAGUAUAAAGGCAAAAGCGCGCUUGACUGCGAGACAGACACGUCGAGCAGGUACGAAAGUAGGUCUUAGUGAUCCGGUGGUUCUGUAUGGAAGGGCCAUCGCUCAACGGAUAAAAGGUACUCCGGGGAUAACAGGCUGAUACCGCCCAAGAGUUCAUAUCGACGGCGGUGUUUGGCACCUCGAUGUCGGCUCAUCACAUCCUGGGGCUGAAGCCGGUCCCAAGGGUAUGGCUGUUCGCCAUUUAAAGUGGUACGCGAGCUGGGUUUAGAACGUCGUGAGACAGUUCGGUCCCUAUCUGCCGUGGACGUUUGAGAUUUGAGAGGGGCUGCUCCUAGUACGAGAGGACCGGAGUGGACGAACCUCUGGUGUUCCGGUUGUCACGCCAGUGGCAUUGCCGGGUAGCUAUGUUCGGAAAAGAUAACCGCUGAAAGCAUCUAAGCGGGAAACUUGCCUCAAGAUGAGAUCUCACUGGGAACUUGAUUCCCCUGAAGGGCCGUCGAAGACUACGACGUUGAUAGGCUGGGUGUGUAAGCGUUGUGAGGCGUUGAGCUAACCAGUACUAAUUGCCCGUGAGGCUUGACC